ensembl:lncRNA
CUCAGACCCGAAAAUUGUAUAAGAUUAAGUAGACUAUUGUUUACGUCAUAUGGAUAUAAUAUAGGCCUACAGUUUUUUUUAAAUCCCGCGCGGUAAGCAUUGGUUAAAUCGGCUUGGUCUAACAAUCAGUCAUCUCCCUCAAGGUGCGUGCACACUGUCAGCUAGCUGGAGCUACAAAGAGGCACUCUAUCGUUCAUUUCCAACCAGAGCCAGCGAAUCACGGCGACAGCGGGGGGAGCUACUCUCGGAGACGAAAUCUCCCAGCGACAGUUGAGAUAUGUUCAACUUUAUGCUAAUUUCCAGCGAGCGUGUUCGGCGACUACCAAUGGCAGGGCAUAUGUUCCGUGCUUCUUGAGAGAAGAGUAUUAUCUGCAGACCGCAAGUUGGGGGCAUAACUUAAUAUGGGGGUUCCUUAAUAUUAAAUUACGCCCAUUGACGGUUUCCAUUGGUGUGGUGGUUUUUGAUUUAGUGCAUUCGUUUAUGAAGGAAGAAUUACAAGGUCAAUAACGAAGAUUUCGUUGCCAAGAUGCGUUGUUGACCUGGGGGAUGCUGUUGCCUGGGUAAAUGCCACCACGGGCCUGUUCUGAGACGGUGUACAUGUCCUCACCCCUGAAUGAUGAGGAAAUACAGGGUGCUGUGCAGAUGCUCAGAGGCCUCAACUGUAGAGGAAGAACAAGAAGCUCUCUCCUCAUUCAUGUUUUUGUUUAAUAAUUUUGAAGACACUGAAACAUUCAUGGAUGAAAUAGACAAAAGAGGACUUAGUGAUCAUUUUGAGCUUCUCUGUUAAUUAUUUUUGUUGUUGAGGAUACCUAUUAGCUGUCUUUAAACCAUCAGCUAAUGCUGGUCUCCACACAACAAAAAUUACAAGAUCCAGAAAACACAAUAUAGUUUGAUGAGACAGAGACAAGAAACAUCAGUUGUGUAGCAAGAGUAAACUGGACAGUGUUUUGGAAGUGUUUACCUGGCCAUACAACAUGAUAGGAUGAAACCAAAGCCUACAGAAUCUGGGCAAAGCUGAAUACAUAGUACAUAUAGAAACAGUUUAGUUUUGUCAGUGUUGGAAUGUAAUGUUUUGAAUAUUUGAUUGGGUGAUAAAAUGUUAAAAUGUCUAACUGGCAUAUCAUUACAUUUUUUAUUUUUAGGUUAUGACAUUAACUUUUUUGGGCUACAUUAGUGGUUAUGCCAUUAAGAUUUUG